UAAUGGGUCAGAAAGAGGGGGCAGAAGAGGAGAGAGAAAUCUUCACCAAACAAACAGCCAGGCCAUCUGGGUGGAGUUGCUUAAGGCAGUCACAAAAAAAUGAUCACAUCAUUUACCUCUCAUUUAACAAGGGCAGAGCAGGGAUACUAGCUGUGAGACACUUCUGCUCCGGGAAAGACCGUUCCUGAUUGUGGUUAUGGAGGAGGUGUCUUCAAAAGCAUCAAGGAAAAAAUAUCAAAUAAUUGUAUUUGUUUGACUGAAGACUUAUCUGGAUACAGGAGGGCAAGAAUCUUCUGUUCCAUAUGCAACAUCUUCUGGCAGCCUUGUCCUUUUUCUGUCCUUGACGACUACAAUAACAAACAGCUGUUGCCGAGGCAUUGCUGUUGACGUGUUACCUUUGAAACCUCCCUCCUGUUAUGGAAUAAGCCUCUUCCAGAUCAUGGCUCAUUAUCAUCUAGUCUGACAAGCAGCCUUGUUGCCACGGAGACCCAAAGGGAUCAGGCGUGGCAUUUGCCUGCAUCAUCACCCCCUCCAGGGGAACUAUAAGGACUCUUCUGUGCGUCAUGCGUGGCUGUCCUGGGACUGGCUGCCACCAGACUUUUCCUGCGGGUAAAACCUAAACAAAUGAUCAGCUGCAGAUAAUAUCAAGACCUCUGUUUGAUAUGUUAAUAGUGACAGCCAGAUUUCCACAAUUAACAACGAGGUGGGAAGAAAACACUGUAGUCACCAGACUUGGGAGGAGAGGGUUUGUAUUCACAUAAACACAACCUCACGUCACUGCUUGCCACCACAAAGGGCUCUGUUCACUGUUUUGUUCUCAAAGAUCAUCCUUGCGCUCAUCCUCUGAUCUUGAAUUUCUACAUAACUUUCUCAGUUUAUAUGCCCUGUGGCAAGUGCAGCAAGCACUGUUUCCUGUUUCUAAACUUGUAGAAAAUCAUCCAUACAUCUUACAGUUGUCAGUUUUAACCAGAUAACAGUGGCACUUUGUUGCUGCUUUUUUAUCUUUAGCUUAGGUUAACAGGACCCUGGAAGUAAAGUUGUUGAUUUAUUCAAUAGAGUAUUCUCAAUUAAUUUGGCUAGAUUUCUACAUGAUUCAAAAUCUAAAAAAGUAGAAAUGCAUGCUUACAUGUCUAAGGCCUGAAAAAUUGGUAGUGACAUCCCAAAAUAAAUGAAGGUUUUAAAACAAUAA
rnacentral:lncRNA from 1 species